CUGCAGUCAAUUAAGCCGACUGGGUUCUUCUGCUGGUGGUGCCCAGUGUGCAGUGGCUGCGAACAGCAAUCUCCUUGGUAGUGUAUGUGCUGUUGCUUGUGCACUUGGGAGGCUGAGACAGGA
ensembl:snoRNA SNORA70 Small nucleolar RNA SNORA70